rnacentral:rRNA from 1 species
UACGUAGGGUGCGAGCGUUGUCCGGAAUUAUUGGGCGUAAAGGGCUCGUAGGCGGUCUGUUGCGUCAGGAGUGAAAACUCGGGGCUUAACCCCGAGCCUGCUUCUGAUACGGGCAGACUAGAGGUAUGCAGGGGAGAACGGAAUUCCUGGUGUAGCGGUGAAAUGCGCAGAUAUCAGGAGGAACACCGGUGGCGAAGGCGGCAUCCUGGACCAAUAUUGACGCUGAGGAGCGAAAGCUAGGGGAGCAAACGGG